GACGAACGCUGGCGGCGUGCUUAACACAUGCCAGUCGAACGGUAAGGCUCCAGCUUGCUGGGGUACACGAGUGGCGAACGGGUGAGUAACACGUGGGUGACCUGCCCUGCACUUCGGGAUAAGCCUGGGAAACUGGGUCUAAUACCGGAUAGGACCAUGGUGUGGAUACUGUGGUGGAAAGUUUUUUCGGUGUGGGAUGGGCCCGCGGCCUAUCAGCUUGUUGGUGGGGUAAUGGCCUACCAAGGCGGCGACGGGUAGCCGGCCUGAGAGGGUGGACGGCCACAUUGGGACUGAGACACGGCCCAGACUCCUACGGGAGGCAGCAGUGGGGAAUAUUGCACAAUGGGCGGAAGCCUGAUGCAGCGACGCCGCGUGGGGGAUGACGGCCUUCGGGUUGUAAACUCCUUUCACCAUCGACGAAGGGUUUCUGACGGUAGAUGGAGAAGAAGCACCGGCUAACUACGU
rnacentral:rRNA from 1 species